rnacentral:rRNA from 1 species
UACGGAGGAUGCAAGCGUUAUCCGGAUUUAUUGGGUUUAAAGGGUGCGCAGGUUGUUUGAUAAGUCAGUGGUGAAAGUCUGUCGCUUAACGGUAGGAUUGCCAUUGAUACUGUUGGACUUGAAUAUGGAUGAGGUAGGCGGAAUGUGUAGUGUAGCGGUGAAAUGCUUAGAUAUUACACAGAACACCAAUUGCGUAGGCAGCUUACUGAGCCGACACUGACGCUGAGGCACGAAAGCGUGGGGAUCGAACA